GCAGGUCACUGAUGGUCUCCUGGUAGGUGAGGAUGAUGGUCUGGUACUGUGUGAUGAUCUGCCUCCGGAGGUUCUCCCAGCAUGGCGACAGCUCGCCAAGUUCUUCCAGCUCGCACACCCUAACGUUUCAUAAAUUCACCGGAAAUGUCACAGUGGACUUACUGAGUUUGUUUAGCUGAUUGGAGAGCUAGCUCCCACAGCUAGUGGGUCCAUGAUGAUGACUUCGGUUUUGUGUGACACGCAUCGUUUGGGAACAAUUCAGCAGCUUGACAAACUGUCGAGGGAUGUGCAGCGAGAGAACACUCUCCGCCAUCUGCUCCAGGACCCGAAGAUGGUUGCCGUCCGUGGUGGGGAAACGAAUCAACUGGAAGUGACUUCAACCGGACCCCGAGUCUCCUUGUGAUACUUGUGUGCCUCGAUCUCAACUGUCACGCAUGAGUCACUAAAAGGAGGAAAACAGGUAUUAGUCCGCUAUCGCCAUGGGAACAGAUGACACAGCCAAGAAGGCAGAUGACGCUGACGUCAUCCCCUCUCACAUCUGGCUGCAUUUACACUGGUGCAAUUAGCGUCUCUGUCAACGCGCUAAUGCAGACGGUGAGAAACGUCUAAAUAUACACCUGCUAGCUGCUAGCUUCUCCUGCUUCCACACACACUUUUAAUUACCGGUAGUCUUGUACAGGAAGUAUUGCAAUAGCUUUUUACUGGGAUGGAACCCUAGAAAGUACUCAGUGCUUAAUACUAGCAUUUCUUGGCCAAAAGUAUUUAGACAAACCAUAAUUUUGUAAUUAAGAAAAGUGUCCAAAUACUUACCAAAAAUGUUUACACUUAUUGUGCAUUAUAAUGAUUGUACACAUCUUAAAAACAUCAUGGAGGCAUCAGGAAGGU